GGAAAUUGGGGACUACCUGUUCCACCUGCCCUUUAUUCUAGGGAGGAGCACUCGAGACUGAGUUGGAUAAAAACUCUAGAGUCUAGAAUGCUGGAUGACAGAGAGUUUCCAGGCUGGGAACACACAGAGGCCUGGGAGGUUGGUUGGCCUGCAAGGACCAGGAAAAGCUCCACAUGCUCCCUCUUCCUGUGCCCCGCCCAGCAGUCUAACGUUUCCGGAACCGCAUCCUUUACAAGUCAUUCUUCUGAACUCAGACCACCCUGGUUUACACUAUAAACCCACCUCAGCUAUGUCCUGUGAGGAGUGGAUUUGAAACUUGGGGCUCUUCUGUGCUUAUGUCAGCCACCUUAUGACUCAACUCUCUUUGUUUUAAAAGUCUUUGCACUGAUUGGCAGACCACAUGUAAAGCCAAAGAGGUGUGAUUGAGUAACAAAUAAUAAUGAAUAAAUACCUUCUUCCAUUC